UACGUAGGGUGCAAGCGUUAAUCGGAAUACUGGGCGUAAAGCGUGCGCAGGCGGCUUUGCAAGACAGAUGUGAAAUCCCCCGGGCUCAACCUGGGAACUGCAUUGUGACUGCAAGGCUGGAGUACGGCAGAGGGGGAUGGAAUUCCGCGUGUAGCAGUGAAAAUGCGUAGAUAUGCGGAGGAACACCGAUGGCGAAGGCAAUCCCCUGGGCCUGUACUGACGCUCAUGCACGAAAGCGUGGGGAG
rnacentral:rRNA from 1 species